GCAAGUCGAACGAGGACUCUGGUAUUUAUAUCGGAUGUUCCUAGUGGCGAACGGGUGAGUAACGCGUUGGUAAUCUGCCCCAAAGAAUGGGAUAACAGUUGGAAACGACUGCUAUUACCGUAUACGAUCAUAUUGAUUAGAUGCUUUAUGAUUAAAGGAGUAAUCCGGUUUGGGAGGAGCAUGCGUCCCAUCAGCUAGUUGGUGAGGUAAUGGCUUACCAAGGCAAUGACGGGUAGGGGGCCUGAGAGGGUGAGC
rnacentral:rRNA from 1 species